CUUACAACCUAUCUUAGUUUUAGGACAAGGCUUUAGGAUUUAAGACAAAGCCUUAUCUGAUCCUAACAAGGAUUGUAAGGGUCCUAAAGAAGGAGAAUCAGAAGUUCAGAGGAGGUUUUAAGAGGGUGAGGUCAGGUUCUUGAAGAAACUUGACCGGUACGAGGCUAAUCGAGUUCUAGGGGCUAGAACUCUUGAAGCAAGGUGA
rnacentral:lncRNA from 1 species